rnacentral:lncRNA from 1 species
UCUGGACACGCUCCAGGCCCUCAGUGUCUUUCUCGCAGUGAGGGCCCAGCACUGAGCGCAGCACUCGAGGUGCGGCCUCAGCAGUGCCAGUGCGGAGGGACGGUCACCUCCUGCAGUACCCAGAUUUUGGAACUGCUGUGCCUCCCUUAACCACGUCUCCCCACCACUGUGAGGCUGUGGGCACGCUCCUCAGCAUGCUCUCUGCAACAUGGCUGCUGGCAUUUCAAUCACUGCUCCAUUUAUGGAGAACGUGGCUGCCUAAACUGGAAUUGAAACCUCGCUCUCCUUGUUUUGUUAUCGAAACAAUCCCGGCGACGCUAAUGGUUGUGUGAGGUACAGGGCCUAGAAUGGCACUGGGCACUGCGCACAGCCUCAAGGCCGAGCAGCACCAUAACCCUCCCAGCCAGGCGUCUCCCGACCCCCGCGGGGAGAGCGCGACGCCGCGCAGGCGCUGUGCCGAGGGGAGCGGCUCCGGGCCUCGGGAAGAGGCGGUGCUCAGCGGCGCGGCUCCUCCCCGUGCCCCAGCCCGGCCGGCCGCGGGCUGCUGCCGCCGGUUGCGCUCGCUGCGGGCCGGCUGCGCGAGAGCUGCCUGUUUGUCCAGGUUGCAGGCUCUAUGGCUCGUGAGGCAGCGCUUAGAAGAACAGUCGCUUGGAGCUGUGGGCUACGCGAGCCUGCAGCUCUGCUUUUGGUUCGGCUACAUCUGCUUUGGCUCUGGGCUUUGGAUCAGAGGAUGAAAGGAGUUGAGCAGCAGAGGUCUCUCCUUCCAGAUGUAGUGACUGCUGUAGCAAGCUGAGGUGUGUUGCUGUAUAGCACACAGAAAACCGGUGCUGCGGUCAUGUGCGUCCCAGGCUCCAUGGGUAAACAGCAUUAGCCCAUGGACCUAAAUACUUGGCAUACCACGCAGCUCUUGAAAAUAAGAGAUUUAUGGUAACUCUAAUCUUUAGUAAGAAAUGUUUCAAAAUACGUGCCUCACAGAAAUAGAACAUUCUUUAGUAAAGAGUUGCACAGCAGGAAUGUUAAG